rnacentral:misc_RNA from 1 species
GUGAAUCAUCAAAUUUUUGAACGCACAUUGCGCUUCCUGGCAUCCCGGGCAGUAUGCCUGUUUGAGGGUCAGUAUUAACAAUACAUCGGCGUGGUUGCAAAUUGUGACGUUUCCGGAGUUUGGGCUAUCUUAACUUUUUUGGUUAAGGGUCUUAAAAUUGACAUUAUUUGCGCCUUUUUAGACGUACAUAAA